rnacentral:rRNA from 1 species
AUUGAACGCUGGCGGCAUGCCUUACACAUGCAAGUCGAACGGUAACGGGCCUUCGGGUGCCGACGAGUGGCGAACGGGUGAGUAAUAUAUCGGAACGUACCUUUCAGUGGGGGAUAACGUAGCGAAAGUUACGCUAAUACCGCAUAUUCUGUGCGCAGGAAAGCAGGGGACCCUCGGGCCUUGCGCCGAUUGAGCGGCCGAUAUCAGAUUAGCUAGUUGGUGAGGUAAAGGCUCACCAAGGCGACGAUCUGUAGCGGGUCUGAGAGGAUGAUCCGCCACACUGGAACUGGGACACGGUCCAGACUCCUACGGGAGGCAGCAGUGGGGAAUUUUGGACAAUGGGGGCAACCCUGAUCCAGCCAUGCCGCGUGAGUGAAGAAGGCCUUCGGGUUGUAAAGCUCUUUCGGCCGGGAAGAAAUCGUAUGGGCUAAUACCCUGUGCGGAUGACGGUACCGGCAUAAGAAGCACCGGCUAACUACGUGCCAGCAGCCGCAGUAACAC